CCAAAGCCCAAAGGAAGGAGGAAGUGCGAGCCUUGCUCCCCAGUGACUCACUACAUCCUUUGGGGCAAGUCAACUCUCACCCGGGCAGGAAGCCUGCCCUCCUUCCCCCAGGGGAUCCUCUGCCCUGGGUCAGCCUAUUCAAAACACCGACCCAAUUCGCCCACCCACACCCUUCGUUCUUCUACCUCGAGAUGUUUGCAGAUACCUGCCUGGGUCCACAAGUACACCUGUCUCUCCCCUUGGGCAGCGAGCAACUCGAGGGCAGGGACGGGGCCCUGCAGAUGUGUGUUGCUACCACUCCACAUGGCUCCAGCUCUGAGGGGAGGCACUGCGGUCUGGGGUUUGAGAGCAAGGCCUGGACAUCAGUGUGGAUACUAGAAGAUUUUCAAUUACACAGGAGGCUUGCAUUUGUGACUUGCAUGAUGUUUUUAUUGGCCAGCACUGCUAUGGACCUUAUCUGGAUUCUGAUUCAAAGGAUUAAUCAUCUCAUUUAAUUCUCAUUUUGUAGACAAGGAAAAGCUAAAUAUUCCACUGAAUGAUACAGCUCAAAAGAAAUACAAGACACAAUGUAAACCAUCCUUUCCUCUACAAUCCAACAGUUAAAAGGCAUUUUAAUGACAAUUCGGGGAAAAUUAAUUAUGGAUAGACUAUUAGAUAAUCAUAAGGCAUUCCUGUUGAUUUUGUUAUGCAUUGUUUGGCCUUGGGGUUAUGUAAGAAAAAGGCCAUAUUUAGAGAGGCACCCUGAAGAAUGUGGGGCUGAAGUGAC